rnacentral:rRNA from 1 species
ACAAUGAAGAGUUUGAUCCUGGCUCAGGAUGAACGCUAGCGGCAGGCCUAACACAUGCAAGUCGAGGGGUAAGGUCUCUUCGGAGAUACACGACCGGCGCACGGGUGAGUAACGCGUAUGCAACCUACCUUCAACAGGGAGAUAGCUCCCGGAAACGGGGAUUAAUAUCCCAUAAUAUCUUUUUAUGACAUCAUAGAAAGAUUAAAGCUCAGGCGGUUGAAGAUGGGCAUGCGUGACAUUAGCUAGUUGGUAAGGUAACGGCUUACCAAGGCUAUGAUGUCUAGGGGGUCUGAGAGGAUGAUCCCCCACACUGGUACUGAGACACGGACCAGACUCCUACGGGAGGCAGCAGUGAGGAAUAUUGGGCAAUGGACGCAAGUCUGACCCAGCCAUGCCGCGUGCAGGAUGACUGCCCUAUGGGUUGUAAACUGCUUUUCUGCAGGAAGAAACUUCCCGACGUGUCGGGACUUGACGGUACUGCAGGAAUAAGCAUCGGCUAACUCCGUGCCAGCAGCCGCGGUAAUACGGAGGAUGCAAGCGUUAUCCGGAUUUAUUGGGUUUAAAGGGUGCG